GGUGAGGUGGCUGAGUGGUCGAAAGCAACGGUUUUGAAAACCGUCGAGGGUUCAUAGCCCUCCCAGGGUUCAAAUCCCUGCCUCACCGCCA
rnacentral:tRNA from 1 species